rnacentral:rRNA from 1 species
AACUUUACGGUCGGGCGGACCGGACCGGCACGGAGGCGUAGACGCGUGAGCAACUUGCCCGUAACAGGAGGAUAACCGGAGGAAACUCCGACUAAUACUGCGUAGAAAUAAUUGGUGGCAUCACCGAGUGUUUAAAGGCGAAAGCCGGUUACGGAUAGGCUCGCGUGACAUUAGCUAGAUGGCGGGGUAACGGCCCACCAUGGCGACGAUGUCUAGGGGUUCUGAGAGGAAGGUCCCCCACACUGGUACUGAGACACGGACCAGACUCCUACGGGAGGCAGCAGUGAGGAAUAUUGGACAAUGGUCGGAAGACUGAUCCAGCCAUGCCGCGUGAAGGCUAAGGUCCUAUGGAUUGUAAACUUCUUUUGUACGAGAGGAAUAAGGCGGACGAGUCCGUCGACGACAGUAUCGUACGAAUAAGCAUCGGCUAACUCCGUGCCAGCCGCUGC